CUCUGUCAAAUAAGUAAAAUCUUUAAAAAAGAAAAAAAUAAUAAUUAGAACAUAGUUGGAAACUAGAGAAAAUAGGAUUUAAUCUACUAUCACAUCC